rnacentral:snRNA from 1 species
GUGCUUACUUCGGCAGCACGUACACUACAAUUGGAACAAUAUAGAGAAGAUUAGCAUGGCCCCUGAGCAAGGAUGACACGCAAAUUCGUGAAGCACUCCAUAUUUGA